CACGUAGGCGGACUUUUAAGUCAGGGGUGAAAUCCCGGGGCUCAACCCCGGAACUGCCUUUGAUACUGGCAGUCUUGAGUAUGGUAGAGGUGAGUGGAAUUCCGAGUGUAGAGGUGAAAUUCGUAGAUAUUCGGAGGAACACCAGUGGCGAAGGCGGCUCACUGGACUGUAACUGACGCUGAGGCGCGAAAGCGUGGGGAGCAAACAGGAUUAGAUACCCUGGUA
rnacentral:rRNA from 1 species